CAUGAACGGAGGGGAGGACUUUGCCAGCCAGGUCACACGCACCCUCGACUCCCUGCAGGGCUGCAAUGAAAAGUCGGGGAUGGACCUCACACCAGGAAGUGACAAUGCCAAGCUGUCACUAAUGAACAAGUAUAAAGAUAAUAUUAUAGCCACUAGUCCUGUGGACUCCAACCACCAGCAAGCCACCCUUCUCUCUCAUACCUCCAGCAGCCAGAGAAAGCGGAUCAACAACAAAGCAAGAGCUGGUUCCGCCUUCUUGAACCCUGAAGGGGAUUCUGGCACAGAGGCAGAAAACGACCCCCAGCUGACCUUUUACACGGACCCUUCAAGGAGCAGGAGGCGUAGUAGAGUGGGUUCUCCCCGAAGUCCUGUGAAUAAGACCACCUUGACCCUGAUCAGCAUCACCAGCUGUGUGAUUGGCCUCGUGUGCUCCUCUCACGUCAACUGCCCUCUCGUUGUCAAGAUCACACUGCAUGUCCCUGAGCACCUGAUUGCUGAUGAACUCCAGCGGACCCUGGGCCAUGGACCUCUGUGCCCGGCGGCUCCUGGACCCCUGUGAACACCAAUGCGACCCCGAAACUGGGGAAUGCCUCUGCUAUGAAGGCUACAUGAAGGAUCCAGUACAUAAGCACCUUUGCAUUCGGAACGAAUGGGGGACAAACCAGGGCACAGUGAACUGAAUAGAGCCACCACCACCUGGUAUUCAAGCCGAACUGUGAGAAUCAUGCCAGACUCCUCUCUCUCCUUCAUCAUCACAUCCAAUCAAUCAGCACAUCAUGAUUGCUCUACUCCCUCAAUAUCACUUGGAGCUCUCCAGCUCUGAUUGCUACAGGCAUUCCUUGGCUUGGAGAUGCAUCACUUCAGUCUCUGCCUCCGUCUCCUUGUGGCAUUCUCCCUGUGUGUGUCUGUGUCUCACGUGGCCAUCCUCUUAAAAGGACACCAGUCAUAUUGGAUUUUGGCACCCCCUACUCCAGGCUGACCUCAUCUUAACUAAUUACACCUGCAAAGACCCUAUUUCCAAAUAAGGGAUGGAUUUGCACAGAUCCAUUGCCAAGCUCUUGUCCUGUUCAUUUGUGAGCAAAGAUGGGUGCCCGGGGGCACAUGGCAGGCUGUGCCCAUGGACAGGAGUAAGCGAGCUGAACAAGCUUUCAGGACCACUGAACUUGAGACCUUGGCUGUAUUAGCCCAGGGUAAAAGUCAACUGAGCCUUUAGAUGCAGAACCAGAGAGAAGUGGAGGGAAGAAAACAGUAGUUACUAUUAUUACCAUUUUACAGAAAAGGAAACUGAAGCUUGGAAAGGUCAAAUAUCUUUAGCUGUAUCAGUUGCAUGAAGCUAGCAAGAGACUUGAAUCCAGAACUUGGACUUGAAUGGAGAUCUAUCUGACUUCAGAGCUCACCAACAAAACCCGAGCCAUGGUGAGACUGUCUUGGGGUGAUUUGUGUGGGAGACUGCAGGCUCAGUGUUGGUCAGCGAAGGACCCUGCUCUCAGCAUGCUCUUUCUGCCUGACUGCUUUCAGUGUCUGCAGCAGCUGCUAGCAGGGUGAGAGAGGAGGAAGAGAGCAGUCGUGAGUCUCACCAGCCAUCUGACUCCCUACCCACAAAGAAAAUGCUGCAGCUGUGACAUAUCUGUGUUUGUGAGUGUGUGUGUCACAUGUACACAACCACAUUUGUGUAUGUGUGCAUAGAUGGGGGCAUCUGUACCUGUAGAUGCAUUUCUGAAUGUAGGAAAAUCUCAAUACUGCAUAAUACUGUUUUCAUGGAACUGUUGAUCCUCAGAAGUAGAAAUGAUUGACAGUUUUCAAAAACAAAUGUGCAUCUCAUAUAAUUGUAAUGAGAUUUGGGAUAUCUUAAUUCAUUAAUAAAGGGGACAGGAAGGAA
rnacentral:sRNA from 1 species